UCCAUAUAAAGUUUCCUCUUUCCAGUGAAGAAGCAGCCAGUCAGGAAUAAGCUUCUCCCACAAUACAUCCGGUUUCGUGGCUCGAGAAUCAAACAAAAAUAAAAAUAAAACAGUUGCAAAUUAGUAUGCAUAUAUAUGCUUCUUCGCUAGUAUUCGUGAAAAUGGCUCCUUACCUCUCUUCCCUUUCUCCCGUCACCGCCACCACCAGUCUCUCUCUCUCUUUUUCAAUUAUGAGUUUUCCUCGGCGGACAAAUGCGAUACGGCUGGUGAGGUGUAGUAAUGCCGCGGUGUCAAGACACGGCCAAGUUGCGUAUGAAUAUGAUCCGGAGCUUCGCACAGUGCUUGAAUUAGCCACGGACGCCGAGCUAUAUGAGCUUCGAAGAAUGCUUUUUGGUCCCAGCUACUUUAGUCCCUUGUUAAAGUCUAUACUGAAUAGAGAUGAUGUGGAGGAUGGGAUGAUUGAAGAAAAUGUCGAGGAGCGAGAAGCUUUUAUAGCAGCUCUUGAAUCACGCUUCUUAUUCCUAGCAGCUGAUGCCCGCUCAACAUUAAGGGGUUGGAGGCCUUCGUAUAGAAAUGUCCUGCUUUCUGUGAGGAAAAAGUUGAACAUUCCUUGCUCAAACAAGUUGUGCACUCAAGACCUUGAAGCAGAGAUUUUCCUUUAUCUAUUGAGGGAUUAUGCAAGUGAAGAAUCAGGAACUUUUCCAGGCCUAUGGGAAAGCAAUAAUAUUUCCAACAUUCAAAAUAGUCUAGAAUUGGGACUUAGCCAGUGGAAGGUGCAGGUCCUUGCUGCUGGUAAAGUCGGGGCAGCUGGGCUUCAAUCAAUAAUUUUGAAGGGUGGUGGUGUGAUUACUUUGGCAAAAAUUUAUCAAUUGUUGACAAAGAAAUUGUCUGGAAUGGUGUUUCUGGAAGCUGCCAACUAUUUGAUUAAAAAGGAAGCUCUUAAAAAGGGGGUGCAGGUAGCUGCUAUUAAUGUAGAAUCUAGAGCAGCCUUGCUUGCAGCUAAGCAGGGCUUUGCUGGUGCUGCAUCCAGAUAUGUGGGUUUGAGGAGUAUGAUGAGUUUACUUGGCCCACUGUUGUGGGGAACAUUUCUGGCUGACGUUGUCAUUCAGAUGCUAGGAACAGAUUAUGCCAGAAUUUUGCGAGCUAUCUAUGCAUUUGCACAGAUCCGUGUCACUCGAACAUACCGGUUAUCAUGCAAAGAUGACUGAGUAGGAUAGCUUUUCAGGUGUACCUGGUAGAACUUCUCCAGUUGUAGAAACGGAGCUUUACUUUGGAACUGAAGCUUUAAUGAUCUUCAUAGCUUAACAACAAGCCACUCCGUGCGUUUCUUAUUCUGAAACCACGUGUCCAUGCGGCACCAAGACUAUUCGUAGUCGAGAUCAGCCUUCCCUCGAGUCCAAUUUUCCUUGGACAGCUCAAUUUCAAUCCUUCAAGCCGCAUACAUAGGAGCCUUUUCUUUGGCUUUGACCCCGUAGGGUUAUUCAUUUCGAACUCUAUAGGGAGGAACCCAACUCCCGUCACUCAUCAGCCCGCGAUUCUCAAAGUGGCCCCGAGCACCCAUCUUUGCCCGCAGGGCUUAAGGUCUUGAGCACCGACCCUUGAAUACCCGUGGGGCAUGCAGCCCCGGUUCUCAUGAUUUUAUUACUUCUUGACAUGGUGAGAACCCAACACCAUGCCCGCCCGUAUUGUACGCAAACUUUCAUAUCAAGUUUACACAAGCACAACACUUAUGCUGGUCAGCAGCUAGCUCGGAGCCUUUAGGCUCAUCUCAUCCCACGGGAUUCAGUUCUUAGGGCUUAGGCCCUUAGCUUCUAUGUAGACUGCCCGCACGCAUGAUUGACACCCAACAUCAUGCUAAUCCCGCAAGGGGGACUUGGGUGGACUGCCCUAGUUGCAGCAUACCUCUACCGAUUGGCCACAAGGGUCUAGCAGCGUGCCUGCCUGCUAGCCCGCACAUCCCUCAGGCUCGAUGGCAUCCUUCCUACGCAAACACCAUCUCAUGAUCCUUUUGGUUCAAGGAGGGGAAAUCGAGGGGCAUAGCGAACUCUACUGUGUAAUCUCAUGGCUCAACGCGAAGGCGUGAUAUGAGGCCUGCUGGCCCCAACCGUCCCUGGGUUUACCAUGAGCCGAGGAAACAUCGUGCCACACUCGUGACCCUACGAUGCCUGCCCACCUAGACACCACUAGUGUCUAGGAGUAGCUCACUUCAGACUAGUUAGGCCUCUGUCUGCCCGCUAGCCAAGGAGGUGGUGGAGAGUUGACACCAGUCAUCCACUAUAAAGAGCGUAAGAGAUUUUUUCAGUUUCCUACCAGUAACCAUAAGAUUGUCUGAAAUGGGGACACUUUUCUCCCUAGCCAUCUCAGGGCCUUUCUCCGACUAACUCAGGGCCCCAUAACCUUCCUUUUGGUCACCAUUAUUCCUUGAUUCUACUCAUUGCUCCAUCAACCCACUCGAAAGUGCCUGCACAUGCCUUCAACUGACAGCACCUGACUGGCUAGUUGGUCCUAGGGCACCGGCGCACUGCCUUACACUUACCUACGUAUCUUGCGGUCCAGGGCUCCCACUGCCCGCACAACAUAUUAGUAACCUGUUCCAAUGCUCCAAAUGCACGCCCGCAUCUAUUAGAACCACUUUCCCGCCAGCUUGGUCUCGAUAACUGCUCAGCUCAGGGUCAGUCAUGGCAUGACCAAGGCACACCAAGGCCUGACUAUGACACCACUGCUGCAUGCACGUUAAUUUUUAAUGUUUUACUUAUCUGGCCCUCUAUUGUGUUAAUAACUGUGUUGAAGAGUUAAAAUGAUUUAGGCAAUUAAUUUUCUCGGAAAUGUAGAAAUCUACUUUGCCUGGAUGUCCCUUUAUGAUUAUAAAAUCAUAAGAUAGUACCAGUUGUUUAAAUAUUAGAGAGUUGAUAUGGCUGGUUGAAGACAUUCAAGUCUAAUGUGCUUUGUCCAAGAGGUUUAGUACCUUUUAUUUAUGAUGCUACUGAUGAAAGUUCAUCAGUAAUAAUCCAAAUGGCUUAUUGCCUAUUCCAUCAAGGUAAGAUUUCCUAGUGAACAACCAUAAAAAAUAGGCUAUGAAUAAUGGAGGAAUAAUAAAAGGUUGCUGAUACAUGUUCUGUGCUCGAAGCAUGAUUCACCAGUGUGCACCGAUUGUUGAUACUAUUUAUUACCAAUGUCGACCUUUUUCCCUCUAAAAAUUCCUUGGUGAAGUCUCGUUUGGAUAGUUCAGUAGCUUCACUGAUAAAGCUUUUUAGCCCCUUUUUUACUUGUGCAGUUAUCUGAAUUGGUUGAACCAAGGCUUCUUUUGGUUGUGUUUUCUUUUUUUUUUUUUUUUGUUACAAAGGAAGCUGCAUGGGGAUGUAGAAAGGAGUUUUAGGUGCUAAAAUUUAAACCUUAGCCAAUAAAAUGUCACAUCUUAAAGAUUGUUACAUAAAUUAAUAUUGUUAAGCUCAGAGUUUU